UACGGAGGGGGCUAGCGUUGUUCGGAAUUACUGGGCGUAAAGCGCACGUAGGCGGACCAGCAAGUUAGGGGUGAAAUCCUGGAGCUCAACUCCAGAACUGCCUUUAAUACUGCCAAUCUCGAGUCCGGAAGAGGUAAGUGGAACUCCUAGUGUAGAGGUGGAAUUCGUAGAUAUUAGGAAGAACACCAGUGGCGAAGGCGGCUUACUGGUCCGGUACUGACGCUGAGGUGCGAAAGCGUGGGGAGCAAACAGG
rnacentral:rRNA from 1 species